UUCCGGCGAAAUAGCUGUCCAUCCCCCAGGCAGCUGCGUCAAUGCUGAGCGCAGCGAGAGGCGGAGCCUCGGCCCUGCGACAGUCGCCUGCGACAGUCGCCUGCGCGGGUCGUCAUGUUGUCAACCAGGCGCCUGGGUCUGGUCUUGCUACCGCUGAGGCGUCUCCGGAGGUGGCCAGGGUUCGGGACCUGUCCAUUCCUGCGCUGCCUUGGGCAAGAGCCCUUCGAGAGAGCCCGGUUAUUGUGUUGCAAAUUCUCGUCUAGAGACGCGCGAGAUGAAGAAGGAGAGCGCGAGGCGGCACAGAGGAAAGCCCCAGACGUAGAGUCGCCUCCAUCUCUCCCUCCGCUCGUCCGGGGACUUGGGACCAGAUGUCUUUCGUCACUGGAAAGCCUCAGACUACCGACGCCGCGAAAGGAGUCACCCCCUCGAAAGCACGAGGGCUCGAGUGAAGACCAGGGCCAGUCGGGUCCCGCACACCAGGGAUCCGGCGGUCCCUCAAUGCCCGCCUUGGCCCAGCCUGCCACCAAGGAUGACGAACUUCACGUCUCCUCUUCCUGGUCAACUACCCGAGAGGUGCCUUUUCGGGCUGGGGAGCUGAUUUUAGCUGAGACUGGGAAGAGAGAAACACAAUUUAAAAAAUUAUUUAGGUUGAGCAAUGCCGGACACUUAAAUAGUAUCUGGGGGGCAGUCCCGUUCAGCGAGAUCGUGGGGAAGUUCCCCGGCCAGAUACUGAGGAGUUCCUCUGGUAAGCACUUCAUGCUGAGGAGGCCAGCAUUGGAAGACUAUGUAUUACUGAUGCAAAGAGGGCCUGCCAUAACGUAUCCUAAGGAUAUGAAUAUGAUACUGUUGAUGAUGAAUAUCCACCCAGGUGAUACUGUUUUGGAAGCUGGCUCGGGCUCUGGUGGAACGAGCUUGUUUUUAUCCAAAGCAGUUGGAUCACAAGGACGAGUCAUAAGUUUUGAAAUUAGAAAAGACCACCAUGAACUGGCUAAGAAGAAUUACAAACACUGGCGUGAUUCAUGGAAAAUGAGUCAUGUAGAAGAGUGGCCAGACAACGUGGAUUUUAUUCAUAAGGAUAUUUUAGGAGCAACUGAAGACAUAAAAUCUUUAACAUUUGAUGCGGUAGCUUUGGAUAUGUUGAAUCCUCAAGUUGCUUUGCCUGUUUUAUACCCAAAUCUUAAACAGGGUGGUGUAUGUGCUGUGUAUCUAGCAAACAUCACACAGGUUAUUGAACUUUUAGAUGGAAUUCGCAUCUGUGAACUUGCCCUCUCAUGUGAAAAGAUAAGUGAAGUUAUUGUCAGAGAUUGGUUGGUUUGCCUUGCAAAACAGAAAAAUGGAAUUUUACCUCAAAAAGUGGAACCUAAAAUCAACAGAGAUUUACAAUUACAUUCUCAAAAGAAAAUUAGAAUUGAAGGUGAGAUGUUUCAAGAAGAUGACCAUGGUGAGCUUCAGUUUUAUUUUAUGCAUGUGUUUGAAAUAAUAAAUGGAGAAUACAUUCCUGAAUAUAUUGGGCAAUACAUUAUAAAAAUAUUUCUCAGGGAUUUAUUAUGUUUUUCCUAUAGAAAUUGAAAUGUGGUAUUUAUUCUGUUAAAUUAAAAUCUUUUAAGAGACAGAAUCAUGACUUUUCCUGCCUUUUAUGUAAAACUCCGAUACCUUUGAAGAACUGAACUUCUUAUAAUAUUCAUAUUUUACUUGUGAUAAGGGGAUUGGCUUAUGAAAUACUUUAAAUAUACUAAAGAAUGUUGUAAAUUUAGAUCAGUGAUUAUCACUGAAGGGAAAGAAUUUAAUAGGACCCGAUAUGCAAAUAGCUAAUAUUCCAAAAAGCAACUUCUAGGAAUUUUUCAAAGAACUAAAUUUAGGUCCUUGUUGUAUGUACACAUUACUUAGGCCAUAAACAAGUUUUCAGACAUCCAUUGAUUUAUGAUAUGAGCUUAUCCGUUUGGUUAUAAAACCAUAUAUAGGUUUAUCAUGUCAUCCUUGACAAGUUGUUUCUGUAAGAUAACUGUCAGAAUAGCUCCAAGACAAAUGCUAAAAAAAAAAAAAGUCUGAGAGGAAAAAACUUACAGGAAAAGGACAGUAAUUUGUUUUUUAACAGUUUUGUGAACAAAUUAUAAAAUAUUUUGUGUAGCUUACAAUACAUAUUUUGUUCUAUAACAGAAGAAUCACAUUCUGAUUUUCCCUAUGGAUCAUUUCCCUAUAUUGCUAGACCUAUACACUGGCAAACUGGUCAUACAGCUUUUCUUGUCAAGUUGAGGAAGUGCAAACCACAACUUAACUGAGUACCUCAGAUGACAACUGAUUUGAAGAUGUGAAGAAAAAUAUCAAAAUAGAACUUUGUAUUGCAAAUCACUACUUUCAUAGAUUGAUAUUCUUAGCUACUACUAUGAUUUGUAUAACUUUUACAUGUAAUUUUGAAAAGUAACAAAAGCUAGAGAAAAAUGUGUAACAUUUCGAAACUGCUUAAAUGUCCCAUUUUGACACUUGUCUUGCAGUUAGUUUGACAUUUUGUAGUUAAUGAUUCCAAGUUUGUUCAGUUGAGCCAUCUCAUUCUUCACUUCCUGUAAACCACUCCAUAGAUUUGUCUUCCUUCAUGAAAUUAGUUUUCUUUUCUUUGUUUGAUUGAUGGUCAUUGGCUACCAAAAUAAAAUAUGCAUUUUGAGAUAAA